rnacentral:sRNA from 1 species
CAAUUCUUUGUUCCGUGCGCGGGCCUGGCGGUGUCUUAGGUUGGGGCUGGCUUUUCGCGUGGUAGAUAUCCCACAGUCUGGUUUGCUAGCCCAAAUUAUUUCGCUCAGAUAGUGCUCAGGGUAUUCAGGCCAGAUUCUUACUCUAAGCGAUGCAGCCCGCGCUGCGCCUCCCUGCCCAGCCCCCGCUUGCUAAUGGCGCGUGCAGGCGUCUGCGCUGCUUCUCCGCUGGGGGAGUUACCGUAGGACUCGCAAUCUUCGAGUUUUAAUUGUUUAUUUAUUUUUUCUUCCUGUUAUGUUGCCCUCUGUGCUUCCAAAGCUCGGCACAGAUUCGGCAGUGAGAAGGUUUCCUGGUGUUUGGAAACUUCUCUCUUUUUAAGACUCCCUUCCCGGGACGGAACUCCGUCCCUCCCUCUUUCUCCCCCACAAAUUCAUCAAAAGAGCAUUUAAACGUUGAGUAAAUUCCACAAAACAACUUCUGAAAGCCGGCAGAGGACAUCAGGCACCCAGAAAAGCAGCCCAUUGUCUUCAAAAGGAGGUAGGAAAAAAUAUAAAAGACAAAAAAAGAGACAAAAGAGGGAGGGACGGAGUUCCAUCCCGGGAAGGGAGUCUUAAAAAGAGAGAAGUUUCCAAACACCAGGAAACACUCUCACUGCCGAGUCUGUGGCGAGCCUUGGAAGCACAGAGGGCAACAUAAC